CCUACGGGUGGCAGCAGUGGGGGAUAUUGCACAAUGGGGGAAACCCUGAUGCAGCGACGCCGCGUGAGUGAAGGAGCGUUUCGGCAUGUAAAGCCCUAUCAGCAGGGAAGAAAAUGACGGUACCUGACCAAGAAGCCCCGGCUAACUACGUGCCAGCAGCCGCGGUAAUACGUAGGGGGCAAGCGUUAUCCGGAUUUACUGGGUGUAAAGGGAGCGUAGACGGCAAGGCAAGUCAGAAGUGAAAGCCCAGGGCGCAACCCCGGGACUGCUUUUGAAACUGCAGGGCUGGAGUGCAGGAGGGGUAGGCGGAAUUCCUAGUGUAGCGGUGAAAUGCGUAGAUAUUAGGAGGAACACCAGUGGCGAAGGCGGCUUACUGGACUGUAACUGACGUUGAGGCUCGAAGGCGUGGGGAGCAAACAGGAUUAGAUACCCGGGUAGUC
rnacentral:rRNA from 1 species